AUACGUAGGGGGCGAGCGUUGUCCGGAAUGAUUGGGCGUAAAGGGCGCGUAGGCGGCCCGGUAAGUCUGGAGUGAAAGUCCUGCUUUUAAGGUGGGAAUUGCUUUGGAUACUGUCGGGCUUGGGUGCAGGAGAGGUAAGUGGAAUUCCCAGUGUAGCGGUGAAAUGCGUAGAGAUUGGGAGGAACACCAGUGGCGAAGGCGACUUACUGGACUGUAACUGACGCUGAGGCGCGAAAGUGUGGGGAGCAAACAGGAUUAGAUACCCUGGUAGUCCACACUGUAAACGAUGAAUGCUAGGUGUAGGGGGUAUCGACCCCUUCUGUGCCGCAGUUAACACAAUAAGUAUUCCGCCUGGGGAGUACGGCCGCAAGGUUGAAACUCAAAUGAAUUGACGGGG
rnacentral:rRNA from 1 species